GGAUGCGAUCAUACCAGCACUAAAGCACCGGAUCCCAUCGGAACUCCGAAGUUAAGCGUGCUUGGGCGAGAGUAGUACUAGGAUGGGUGACCUCCUGGGAAGUCCUCGUGUUGCAUUUC
rnacentral:rRNA from 16 species